UGCCAGCCGCCGCGGUAAUACGAAGGGGGCUAGCGUUGUUCGGAUUUACUGGGCGUAAAGCGCACGUAGGCGGAUCGUUAAGUGAGGGGUGAAAUCCCAGGGCUCAACCCUGGAACUGCCUCUCAUACUGGCGAUCUGGAGUUCGAGAGAGGUGAGUGGAAUUCCGAGUGUAGAGGUGAAAUUCGUAGAUAUUCGGAGGAACACCAGUGGCGAAGGCGGCUCACUGGCUCGAUACUGACGCUGAGGUGCGAAAGCGUGGGGAGCAAACAGGAUUAGAUA
rnacentral:rRNA from 1 species